AUUUAAUGCUACGGCCCGCGAGUCCAUAUCCAGAGAGAAAAAACCUCACUAUAUAACUACUGAAAAACCCUAACUCACACAACAUCUACACCAGUCGCCGAUAGCUGCUCCUCAGAUCGCCGAAAAUGCCGUUCAAGAGGUUUGUGGAGAUCGGAAGAGUCGCCCUUGUCAACUACGGGAAGGAUUACGGAAAGCUUGUUGUUAUCGUCGAUGUUAUUGACCAAAACAGGGUACGUGUUUGUCGCUUUUGCUUCACCAAGUUACUUUUAUACUAUACUUUUAUGUUUCAAACGCGAGUAUUCGAAUAGUAGUAGUUUGUAACAGCUACUUAUACUCCUUUACUCAUGAUACUUUAUUCUUAAUUAAUUUACAUAUGAUGAUCUGUUAAACAUAUGUAUGUAAAAUAUAUGUAUGUGUGCAAGGCCAAUGAUGGAACAUAAUAAAUAUGCCUACAUUGUCUGAUCAUCAUAAAAGUUUGAUUGAACAACAUGAUCUGAGGCCUUGUUGACUUGUUGUAAGUAUUGGUCAAUAAUAUUCUUCAUAGAUUUAGCUAUAUGUUGCAGAAAAAACGAAUUUUGUCGUUGUGUUUUACUCUCAUUGGAGAAGUGUUGAUACAUUUUAUAUAAGGGCUUUUUUGGUGCCUUAAUUUCUGUACAUUCUCGCUUAAUUUCAGAUAGUUAUUGAUUCAUUACUUUAUUAGCAUGUUUUUAGUUUGACCAGCUCCAUACAGGAGAUCUGUAUCUCUCAGGUUGUUUGAAUAGUUCUCAAUAUACUGAUUCUUAUGUUGAGUCUACAAAAGGCAAUAAAUUAGAGUCUCUGGUAUGCUUUGCCCAUAGUGUAUUCAGCGCUGUACGUUGCCAAGAAUGAAAUGGGGGUGGAGAUUCUGGCACAAGGACUCUGCAUCCUGCAUGUGUCCCUGUGCAUUCAGAUGUCUCUACAUUUUUUAAUACUUCUUCAAACUUUGGUCAUAAAAGAAUUGGAAAAGUGUUCAUACAUUUUUUAUACAAGGGUUUUUUUGGUGCCCUAGUUUCUAUAUAUUCUCUCUUAAUUUCAGAUUGUUAAAGGCAGUGAUGCUGAAAAACCAUACCAUCAAACUACGGAAUCUCAGUCAUAAGCUUAUUGAUUCAUUACUUAAUGAGGAUGUUUUUAGUUUGACCAUCUCCACACUGUUUCCUUUUUAUAGAUCUGUAUCUCUCAGGUUGUUUGAAGUGUUCAUACAGUAUACUGAUUCUUUGUGUUGAGUCUAUAAAAGGCAAUAAAUUAGAGUCUCUGGUACGCUUUGCCAAUAGUGUAUUCAGCGCUGUACGUUGCCUAGAAUGAAUUGGAGGUGGAGAUUCUGGCACAAGGACUGCAUCCUGCAAGUGUCCCUGUGCAUUCAGAUGCUCUACAUUU